rnacentral:rRNA from 1 species
GAUGAACGCUAGCUACAGGCUUAACACAUGCAAGUCGAGGGGAAACGACAUCGAAAGCUUGCUUUUGGUGGGCGUCGACCGGCGCACGGGUGAGUAACGCGUAUCCAACCUGCCCACCACUUGGGGAUAACCUUGCGAAAGUAAGACUAAUACCCAAUGAUAUCCCACGAAGGCAUCGGAAUGGGAUUAAAGAUUUAUCGGUGAUGGAUGGGGAUGCGUCUGAUUAGCUUGUUGGCGGGGUAACGGCCCACCAAGGCAACGAUCAGUAGGGGUUCUGAGAGGAAGGUCCCCCACAUUGGAACUGAGACACGGUCCAAACUCCUACGGGAGGCAGCAGUGAGGAAUAUUGGUCAAUGGGCGAGAGCCUGAACCAGCCAAGUAGCGUGCAGGAAGACGGCCCUAUGGGUUGUAAACUGCUUUUAUAGGGGAAUAAAGUGAGCCACGUGUGGUUUUUGCAUGUACCCUAUGAAUAAGGACCGGCUAAUUCCGUG